UACGUAGGGUGCGAGCGUUAAUCGGAAUUACUGGGCGUAAAGCGUGCGCAGGCGGUUUUGUAAGCCAGAUGUGAAAGCCCCGGGCUUAACCUGGGAAUGGCAUUUGGGACUGCAAGGCUUGAGUGCGGCAGAGGAGACUGGAAUUCCUGGUGUAGCAGUGAAAUGCGUAGAUAUCAGGAGGAACACCGAUGGCGAAGGCAGUUCUCUGGGCCGUAACUGACGCUGAGGAGCGAAAGCGUGGGGAGCAAACAGG
rnacentral:rRNA from 1 species